UUUCCUUUUCCAAUUUCUCUGUCAAGGCGUUUUGAUUAUCCUAUUUCAGUGUUCCUUAAUUCUGAAAUUCAACAUUGUUCAAUGCAUACUCUGUUGAUCUGAGCACUGAAACACCCUUGAAAACCUAUUUAGCUCUCUUUCUUUCUUUUUAGCUUUACAAAUUCUUUGAAAAUCUUUUAUUUAGUUCCUUUUCAGUGGAGAAUUUCAUCAAACGGCC
rnacentral:lncRNA from 1 species